rnacentral:rRNA from 1 species
GACGAACGCUUUCUGCUUUCUUAACACCUUCAAUUCGAACUUAAAGGCCCUGCUUUUGUUUUGUUCUCGAGUGGCGAACGGGUGAGUAACACGUGAGUACCCUUCCCUUGACUUUGGGAUAACUUCAGGAAACUGGGGCUAAUACCGUAUAGGAGCUCCUGCUUCAUGGUGGGGGUUGUAAAGUUUCUUCGGUUGGGGAUGGACUCGCGGCUUAUCAGCUUGUUGGUGGGGUAGUGGCUUACCAAGGCUUUGCCUUUUCGCCGGCCUGAGAGGGUGACCGGCCACAUUGGGACUGAGAUACGGCCCAGACUCCUACGGGAGGCAGCAGUGGGGAAUAUUGCACAAUGGGCGGAAGCCUGAUGCAGCAACGCCGCGUGAGGGAGGAAGGAAUUCGGGUUGUAAACCGCUUUAGCAUGUGACGAAGCGUGAGUGAAGGUAAUGGGUAAAGAAGCAAAGGAGAAAUACGGG